rnacentral:tRNA from 5 species
CCCUUAGCCUUCCAAGCUAACGAUGCGGGUUCG